GCCCGGGUGAUGAAAUGGUAUACAUAGGGGACUUAAAAUCCCCCGCCCAAAAGGCAUGCGGGUUCGAGUCCCGCCCCGGGCA
rnacentral:tRNA from 1 species